GCAUUAAUGGGGUAGUGGUAACCUGGGUCGUUGCCAGCGAAUCCGUUCGAUGGACGAGUUCGACCCGCCGGGGGUUCGAUUCCCCCUUAAUGCA